rnacentral:lncRNA from 1 species
UGCAACAUUUCCAGAAAUGUACCAGAGUUGUUCGUGAUCAUAACCCCAAAUCAUUGGUACCUCGAUGUUUAGAGGGGAAACAGCAUUGGCUGGGCAAGCUGGGGCAGGGAACGUGAUGAACAGUGGGCUGGAAUAAGUGAAGUGGAGGAGGGGAGGCGUCUCAGGAAGGGAGAAUAGCAUGAACAGCAGCAUAGACGUGAGAAUAACCAUCUGGAGUGAUGAACCUAUGCUGAGUAGAAAGUUCCAGAAGGCUGCAUAAGGGAGGUGUGUGAACAGCAGAAGCAGGACAAGCCUGAGAUGCUACUGCACAGACCGUGUAAAUGGACAGGACAGCCAGAGAGAGAACUAGGGAGAAGAUGGCUAAACUGAAGCAACUUGGAGCUAGUCUUUCAGAAGAUAGGCUGCGUCUGCUCAGUUCACCUGCGCAGACCAAAAACAGUGCAUGCUGUAGGCGGCCCAGUCCAGCUGAAUUUCAUCAGAUGGGCAUGUGUUUCCUUCCUCAACUGCUGGCCUCAGCUUCUCAGAAGGGAAUGUAUUGAGCCAAGGUGAGCCCUGCAGGUGAUCACUUGGACACCUCUGCCCAUCUGUGAGAGUGAACAGCAUGCUUACCACUGUGGUAGGCUGCAGUGCCACAGCAAGCUGAUUCACACGUAAAGGACAUGGGCAGGCCAUGAGUUCUCUCCAUCCAGGGACAUCUUGCCAACUAAACCUCCCACCUGCCACUUCCACCCUAGUCCUGCCUGAGUGUGCUCUCACCCACUACCUUCACAGAUGUCUCUGCGUCUCUGUUCACUGGGUGUUUCCACUCUCAAACCUACUUCCUUUUCCUCUCUGCAGAGGGGUGCAUCUCGGGUUAUCUCCGAACGAUGUUCGAUUCCAUUCUCUCCUUUUAUUCAAAC